CAUUUUUCUCACCACUGCAAGCUAAACCCAGGAUGUUUUCCUGGUCAAAUGUAUGAAUCAAAUGAGAUAAUGUUCCUCAUCUCACAUGUCAUAGACUUCUAGAACCAGUUGUUUUGCCAGCAUGAAGAACUCCUCAACAAAGUUGCAGCUUGCAAGGCCAUCCAGCUGGUGGGCAGGCUCAUUCUCCCUGCUGACUCUCAACAUGACCCUAAAGAAUGCAGCACAACCGUUUCAGUUUCCAACCUGUCAAGACUUUGCACAAAUGAUUUGUCAAGAAAAAGUCUAAUUAUGUCUGGCUUAAGGCUUCCAUGUUAAACAGAAACAAUUGUGGUGACUGAGAAAGAACCGCCUCCUGGCACUUAAGCAAAAUCUGAAAGCAGCAUGAUUGUCUUGCCUUGUUUCUUUCCAUCAACACCCUGUGGUCAGAAAAAGACACUUCAAACUACUUCACUUCCAUUUCUAUCAAUUUUGGGAGACUGGCAGCACCUUGGCAUUUGCCUUGUACUGUAUAUGAGUCAUACUGCUAGGGCAACAAGACAGCCUGUUGAAUGCAAAGUUUGAAGUCAAGCAGACUCCCAGCCAAAACCUGUUACUGCAGCUAUCAAGCAGAUUAAACUAAAAUUAUUUUGAUGCGCACAUCAAAAAUCAAAGUGAGUUUGGAAAUUUGGAGGAAAACAGCAGGUGGCCACUGUGCUAUAAAAUUAUUAGAAAAAAUCUGUUUUGCUACUGCUGUUUCUCAACCAUUGUAAAAUAUCUGGAGUCAUCAUUUUGUUUAUCUUUUUGUGGGAGUUGCAUAUGUCUAUUAGUAAUAGAAGUGCUUGAACAAACUAUCUUACAAUUUUCAAAAGCAAAGGUCAAAUGCGACUCCCAUUUGAAAUCAAUGUAAAGACUUUCACUGAGAGACAGGCUGGACACUUGGGAAUAAACAGAUAUUUGUUAAAAAUAACUGUUAAUGAAAAGUGAGGAAAGGAGCAUAUGUAAAGCUUGCAACUAACCAUAAGCAUAAGACUCUUUAGAAAUUAAGGUCUACAUUAUUAUAAAGUUCAAAUGAUUUAGAAUCUCUGCUUCUGCAUGCCCAGUUUGAGAUAACUUGGAGUCUCUGUCUUGUUUCCAGAAAGUGGGCACAUAUACCGUUUGGACAAUAAGCACUUUUUAGGGUUGGGGGUCUGAAAACCAAUGCCACUGCAAUUACUUUAGUGUUCCUUCAUUCCUCUACAAAGCUGGCAAUCUGCUACUAUUCCAAACUAGCUUACUGGAGAUAGGACCUUGGGGAAGUGGCCAAAUCUACACCUCACCCAGCCCUUCAGAGUGGAAAAAACAGUGAAUAGAGCUCCUGCUUCAGCUGCUGCCUAACCAAAAAGGUGCAUCAAUCCAUGGUGAGUAAGAUUUUGCUUGUGAAAUUUCUUAGCUAUUUAAAUAUCUGCUUGUG